rnacentral:tRNA from 1 species
GGUGGCUCAAUGGUAGAGCUCUUGCCUUGCAUGCAUGAGGCCCUGGGUUCGAUUCCUUAGCACCA